rnacentral:rRNA from 1 species
CAGCAGCAGCCGCGGGAAUACGAAGGGGGCUAGCGUUGCUCGGAAUGACUGGGCGUAAAGGGCGCGUAGGCGGUUUGUACAGUCAGAUGUGAAAUUCCUGGGCUCAACCUGGGGACUGCAUUUGAUACGUACGGACUUGAGUGGAGAAGAGGGUCGUGGAAUUUCCAGUGUAGAGGUGAAAUUCGUAGAUAUUGGAAAGAACACCGGUGGCGAAGGCGGCGACCUGGUCUUUAACUGACGCUGAGGCGCGAAAGCGUGGGGAGCAAACAGGAUUAGAUACCCCAGUAGUCCCUGUCUCUUAUAC